rnacentral:rRNA from 1 species
CCCGGGUCUUGUACACACCGCCCGUCACACCAUGGGAGCGGGAUGUACCAGAAGUAGGUAGGCUAACCGCAAGGGGGCCGCUUACUACGGUGCGUUUCGUGACUGGGGUG